rnacentral:pre_miRNA from 1 species
UGAUGAUGAUGGUGGUCGUGGUGGUCGUGGUCAUCGUGGUCAUGGUCAUCGUCGUCAUCAUGAUCAUGGUCACCAUCGUGGUCGUGGUCAUCAUCA